UUUGGCCGUGAAUGUCACCUGACCUGUCGGUGAGCUGCCAUUGGCUGAGAGGAGAGAGAAGGCUGAAGCGCGGAGCCACCUUUAGUUUGGGAGCAAGAUGGCGGCGAGGAAACUGAGCGGGAAGUAAUGGUCUUCUGCUCCUGUUGACGCAUAGAAGAGAGGAGGCGAUGAUGAUGUGGGAGGUUCACCCACCAAGUGCUACGCUCCUGAAGGGGAGCCCUUGGAGGAGAAUCCCUCCUAGCAGAGUCCUGCUCUGACCUCCGCCCUCCCUCACCAGAUAUUAAGAACAUUUCCUGGAAUCGGACACAAAAGCGUCGUUUGCCAUAGUUUAUGGUGGGGCUGACCAACAUGGUGCUGCCAUGGUAUUGCUGGGUUACUUGCCACACUAGCUGGGGCCGAGGGGAGCUGCAGUCAACAGUUGGCCAUCCUAGGGCCCAUUUGCUCUGUACAUUUAAAGCAGUGUCAUAGCCCUUUAAACAGCCGUGCCUUCCUCCAAAGCACCCUGGGAGCGGGGGCUUGCUAAGGCUGCAGAGAGUUGCUAGGAGACCCUGGUUCCCCUUACAAAGCUCCAUUUUCCUUAGGAGUUCCUAGGGAAAGAGGCAUUGAUAAGCCAGAAGUUGUAGCUACGUGAGGGGAAUAGGGAUCCCCUAAGACAGGCAUGGCCAAACUUGGCCCGCCAGCUGUUUUGGGACUACAACUCCCAUCAUCCCUAGCUAACAGGACCAGUGGUCAGGGAUGAUGGGAAUUGUAGUCCCCAAGCAGCUGGAGGGCCAAGUUUGGCCAUGCCUGCCCUAAGAACUCUCCGCACCCUUGCUCCAGCAUCUAGAGGGACACAGGUUGUGCGUUCCUGUAGUGCUCACCAGAGCCAGGACCUGACUUCUGAGAGUUCUCUAGUUGCGGCUCCUUGGCUAAAAGAGCAGUUUCACCAUGCAACUCUCCACCAACUCUCAUCUGCAGCACCUGUUCCAUCAGGCUGCUGGGGACGGAUGGGAAUGAAGGAGCUCUACAACCAACUACUGAAAGCUCCUCUUUCCAUUGGAAGCUUUCUGUUCCAGCUGAUCCUGGUGAGAAACCUGCGACUAAGACAAGUGUGCUUUCCCACCCUGUUCCCUCCUAAACCCCUUUACUUUUGUGUUACGUCUUUUAUAUUACAAGUUGGCAGGCAGGGAACUGUCUUACCGGUAACCUCUACUGAGAGCCUUUUUUUUUGGCUAAAGAGCAGAAUAUAUAUAUAUAUUCAACCUAAAACAAUAAAUAAAUUAUUCUCUCUCAUGACCAAAUUGGAUGUUGUGAAUCUAA